UUUUCUAAUUUUCGUUAUUACUGCUCUCCGUGCCUGUCCUUAACUUUUGCUCUUCCUUUCUCCACAAUCCAUGUCCGCUCCAUUGCCAAAGCCAAGAGGAACGAAAUAAGAUGUCAUAGAAUUUCUACAAAAUCGGAGUGACAUGACGGAUGCUUACUAAAUGUGCGACAAUGGCCGGAUACAACCGGCAUCUUUAUGUCCUCUGAUGGCCGCCAAAUGCCCUCAGACCAAAUACGGAUUACUACGAUGGAUAAAAAAAUUGUACAAUAUCAUGCCCAUCAAUUUUCUCAAUGGUGAACCAUGUUGAAAUGAAUAACACUGGAACUUCCAACCGUUGGCGCAAAGAACAGGAUAACUGUGACACAACAUCACCAUGGAUAACUAAGGCAAUAUAUGAAUGUAAUUAUACUCUCGGAUGUAAGCUUUUGUUCUAGCUCAAUCUGGUUGGCUCUAUUCCCUCGAGCUUUGGGCAAUUACUGUCUUUACAAGUUCAUGUACUUCCAUCGAAUUAAAUGGCAGGGAUUGCGGAAAACAGUUUACUUGGGUAAACAAAUGUCUUUGUUUAUAUACUACAGCUCGGUUGAUUUGAUGUUCUUUCCUACUUUGUUCAUGAGUUGUUUCUAAGCAACUGCAAGCUUCAGCCGAACAUCUUAAUGAGAAUUUGAAUCUUACAGGGGGGUUUGACGCUGCGCAUGCUGCUGCUAGGUAUGACAUUGUAGUUAGAAUGAGUUUUAUUGUAGUAAAGAUAUAAUGACACUAUUUAAAUGGAGAAAUCGGACGGUUAUGGUGUUAAAACUUCUAUUAAUAUCAGGGCACAUGAUCAUGCUGUGAUUAAAUUUAGAGGCAUGGAUGCAAAUAUCAAUAUCAAUUGAGUGAUUAUCAUAAUGAUCUAAAGAACCGUGGGUAGAUAGCUAAUUCUUGAAUUACCACCUAAGUUAGAAAUCUUUUUUCCUCAAUACGGAAGCUGAUCUUGGCUCACCGUUACCGUCUUGUGACUUGCUAUCUAGAUAUCUAAUUUCUCAAAGGAAGAGUUUGUGCACAUACUUUGACGUCCAAGCACUGGGUUCUCUAGAGGAAGCUCGAAAUAUUGGGGAGUCAUGUUGUGCAAAUGUGAACAAUGAGAAGCUCUGAUAGGGCAGCUUCUCAUAAAGAAGUAACUAAUCGUUUAUCUCACCAUAGCUUAGUAGUGUCAUACUAUCAGUGAUAUAGCUGUUAAAAAGCUUUCUUGGAAUAUUAUGAUGUCAUUAUACA